AGGUUGGAGUGCUUUAUCGAACGAAGCCAUGAAAAGACCUACGUAUCUCGAUGGAAUUGGCCAAUCACCAAGGGCGAUGUUAGGUUAGCAUUCUUUUAGAACGAAUAGAACGAACUCGAGUUCAGUUCCUUGCUCUAGCUUUCUCCCUUCUCGACCAGACGAAGGAGAUAUGAAUUCAUAUCAGGCGGGUAAGGGCUUGGCUUGACUCUGUGUUCUCUCCUGGUCGGGUCGGAGGCGAAGACUGGCAAAGUUCAUCAUUCAGUGGUGGGGUGUUCAUAGAAAAGAGGGCGUCGCCCAACGAGUGGCAGAUUUGGAUGGAGUCUCGCUCAUAGAUAGAGGAAGAGUACGCGCGCUAGCGCGCUACGGCUUACGCAGUUGAUCGGAUCAGAUAGCCCUUCGGUUGGUUGCCCAACCGCACAUAAAAUUCCGAUCAACAACUUGGAGGUAUGGCUGAGUGGCUUAAGGCAUUGGUUUGCUAAAUCGACAUACAAGAAGAUUGUAUCAUGGGUUCGAAUCCCAUUUCCUCCGGCACGGAAGUGGAACGGGCGGGCGAAAUUACGUGAGAGAAAGAACCUCUUGGUGUUGGUGGAGUCCCCCGGAGGACAGAAUAGCACUACUUAGUUACUAGGAGCGGAGAGCCCGUUGCGCGUUGUUUUGACCGGCCUGCCUAUCUUCUUUUUAUAUUAAUUAUAAGCAAGCUCCCUCCGGCAGUCCCUGGGCGGCUCUCGGUUCUUUAGCAUGUUGGGAGAGGAGAUUAGGCGGCAGUUGAAAGAGCUGCUCGAAAGCUUGACGAACGAAAAAAUAUAGGGCUUUCUUUUUAUGAGUAAAGGGCUUUUCCCUUACUAGUAAAGUGGUAAGUAAGGUAGGGCGCUAUUCGAUGAAGAAAAGAGACUGACUUUAGGAAAGUGGUUCAGGUAGCUCAGCUGGUUAGAGCAAAGGACUGAAAAUCCUUGUGUCAGUGGUUCGAAUCCACUUCUAAGCGGGCUUUGGGUCCAAAGGGGACGACAGGUAGUUUAAGAAGAGCGAGCCGGAUUUUUUUAAAUUCAAGAUCAAGAGGAAGCCAAAAAAAAAUGUGAGCGCUCCUGCACUAUACGGCUUUUUGGCGUCGCCCUAUCUUGCUGGAGGCAGAUUUUAUAAAAAAAGCGGUUGAUUACUCGGAUUGGUUCUCGCGUCCCUGAUUUGACCCCAAAAGGAUGGGCGAGUUCGGUUCGAGUCUUCAUCGAUCGGGUGGAUCUAUAUGCUGAGGGGGGUGAGACGAGGUGUAGCGCAGUCUGGUCAGCGCAUCUGUUUUGGGUACAGAGGGCCAUAGGUUCGAAUCCUGUCACCUUGAUGUGAGGUAGUAAAGACCUAAAGAGCACCCAUCAACCCGUAAACUUUCGCUCUUUUAGAAAGAAGAAAAUAGACCGCCCUUGAUCUGGGCGGGAUCUAAAGCAGCAUUUCUUCCUAGGUUUUUUCUCGGGGGCAAGCCUUAGGUUCAAUUCUUUCUUGCCUAUAGUCAUCUUACCUUCUUCUGAUUCCGAGGAGUGAAACUGCAUUUCAGUAGUAUCUAAUUCACGUAACGUAAGAAAAGAGAAUCAGUCUGCAUGCUUAACAGCCUUCCUUGUCUGAAUCCCUUUUUAUGUAAAUGUAAAAAAAAAAGGAGGCUCCCUCAUGGGUCUUUGGGGCUAUGAGCAAGAACCACAUUCCUUAAAGAAAGUAUACCCGAAAGCACUUUAUCUAGAAUGGGUCAAUCAAUCAGUAAGUUGCUGACAUUGAAGAGAUUCAAGUCGAUGCUUCCACUGGCGAAUUCUAGUCCUAGGUUCUCCCAAUAUAGUUGAGUUCCAAUACCUUUUUCCCGAAAAGCAAUCAGCUUAGAUCGAACAAUAAACAUUCGGGAUCCUGAAAACUACUGCCGCCACGCCCCCUGUCCAUUAUAGCUGACAAGAUAAGCACAUUGAUCAUGGAGUCACCAUCGACUCUCAAAUUGGAAAUCAAGCUGAACUCGCUUAGCAGUUUGAGCCGUCUUUCAGAUAAGAGGGCAGUGAUCUGACCCAGGAUCAUGGAAAACCUGCGCUGCGCUUGAGGGAACAGAAGGCGCCACUCAGCCGUUGCUAGCGCACGAUCAAGCCGAAUGCG